rnacentral:rRNA from 1 species
UGGGGAAUAUUGCACAAUGGGGGAAACCCUGAUGCAGCGACGCCGCGUGAACGAAGAAGGUAUUCGUAUCGUAAAGUUCUGUCCUAUGGGAAGAUAAUGACAGUACCAUAGAAGAAAGCUCCGGCUAAAUACGUGCCAGCAGCCGCGGUAAUACGUAUGGAGCGAGCGUUGUCCGGAAUUAUUGGGCGUAAAGGGUACGCAGGCGGUUUAAUAAGUCGAAUGUUAAAGAUCGGGGCUCAACCCCGCAAAGCAUUGGAAACUGAUAAACUUGAGUAGUGGAGAGGAAAGUGAAAUUCCUAGUGUAGUGGUGAAAUACGUAGAUAUUAGGAGGAAUACCAGUAGCGAAGGCGACUUUCUGGACACAAACUGACGCUGAGGUACGAAAGCGUGGGGAGCAAACAGG